GGGCCCGCACAAGCGGUGGAGCAUGUGGUUUAAUUCGAUGCAACGCGAAGAACCUUACCUACUCUUGACAUCCAGAGAAUUCGCUAGAGAUAGCUUAGUGCCUUCGGGAACUCUGAGACAGGUGCUGCAUGGCUGUCGUCAGCUCGUGUUGUGAAAUGUUGGGUUAAGUCCCGUAACGAGCGCAACCCCUAUCCUUAUUUGCCAGCGAGUAAUGUCGGGAACUCUAAGGAGACUGCCGGUGACAAACCGGAGGAAGGUGGGGAUGACGUCAAGUCAUCAUGGCCCUUACGAGUAGGGCUACACACGUGCUACAAUGGUCGGUACAACUGGUUGCUAACCCGCGAGGGGGCGCUAAUCCACUAAAGCCGAUCGUAGUCCGGAUCGCAGUCUGCAACUCGACUGCGUGAAGUCGGAAUCGCUAGUAAUCGCGGAUCAGAAUGCCGCGGUGAAUACGUUCCCGGGCCUU
rnacentral:rRNA from 1 species